UGGGGAAUAUUGGACAAUGGGCGCAAGCCUGAUCCAGCCAUGCCGCGUUAGUGAUGAAGGCCCUAGGGUUGUAAAGCUCUUUCACCGGUGAAGAUAAUGACGGUAACCGGAGAAGAAGCCCCGGCUAACUUCGUGCCAGCAGCCGCGGUAAUACGAAGGGGGCUAGCGUUGUUCGGAUUUACUGGGCGUAAAGCGCACGUAGGCGGACUAUUAAGUCAGGGGUGAAAUCCCGGGGCUCAACCCCGGAACUGCCUUUGAUACUGGUAGUCUUGAGUUCGAGAGAGGUGAGUGGAAUUCCGAGUGUAGAGGUGAAAUUCGUAGAUAUUCGGAGGAACACCAGUGGCGAAGGCGGCUCACUGGCUCGAUACUGACGCUGAGGUGCGAAAGCGUGGGGAGCAAACAGG
rnacentral:rRNA from 1 species